CCUGAUGGCUCAGCUGGUAAAGAAUCUGCCUGUAAUGCAGGAGACCCAGGUUUGAUUCCUGGGUCAGGA
rnacentral:tRNA from 1 species